UAGCCCAGAGAAGCGGCGCUAGCGGCCCUUUCACGGCGGUAACAGGGGUUCGAUUCCCCUUGGGCGUACCA
rnacentral:tRNA from 1 species